rnacentral:rRNA from 1 species
UACGAAGGGUGCAAGCGUUACUCGGAAUUACUGGGCGUAAAGCGUGCGUAGGUGGUUUGUUAAGUCUGAGUGUGAAAGCCCUGGGCUCAACCUGGGAAUUGCAUUGGAUACUGGCAGGCUAGAGUGCGGUAGAGGAUGGCGGAAUUCCCGGUGUAGCAGUGAAAUGCGUAGAGAUCGGGAGGAACAUCUGUGGCGAAGGCGGGCCAUCUGGACCAGCACUGACACUGAGGCACGAAAGCGUGGGGAGCAAACAGG